UAAACCAACAGGACGUACUGCCUAGCAGACUGGCCUACAGAAUGGGAUACAGCCUGGCCCAGAGACUGGCCUACCGACGGACUCACAGACCAGAGUGCAGGCUGGCCUCCAUACUGACCAUCAGGCUGGCCUCCAUACUGACCAACAGGCUGGCCUCCAUACUGACCAACAGGCUGGCCUCCAUACUGACCAUCAGGCUGGCCUCCAUACUGACCAACAGGCUGGCGCACAGACUGGCCUACAGACCAGCGUACAGGCUCGCUAUCAGACUGGCUAACACAUUGUCUUACAGACUGACUUACAGACUGACUUACAGAAUGUCUUUCAGACUGACUUACAGACUGACAUACAGACUGGCCUACAGACCAGCGUACAGGCUCU
ensembl:lncRNA